CACGUAGUUAGCCGGAGCUUAUUCCUCAGGUACCGCCAAAUUCCUCUUUCUUCCCUGAUAAAAGAACUUUACAUUACGAAUAACUUCUUCGUUCACGCGGCGUUGCUCGGUCAGGGUUCCCCCCAUUGCCGAAAAUUCCCUACUGCUGCCUCCCGUAGGAGUAUGGACCGUUCUCAGUUCCAUUGUGGCCGUUCAACCUCUCAGUCCGGCUACGCAUCAUCGCCUUGGUAGGCCCUUACCCCACCAACUAGCUAAUGCGCCACAGGCCCCUCCUUAAGCAGAUCUCUCUUUUAAAUAUAAAAGAUUCUUCCUCUAUAUCCUAUCCAGUUUUAUCCAUCGUUUCCAAUGGCUAUCCUCGUCUUAAGGGUAGUUACCUAUGUAUUACUCACCCGUUCGCCACUAAAGUACCCGAAGGUACUUCCGUCGACUUGCAUGUAUUAGGCACGCCGCCAGCGUUAAUCCUGAGCCAGGAUCAAACUCU
rnacentral:rRNA from 1 species